GGGAUUGUGGCUCAGUGGUAGAGCGUUCACCUAGCAUGUGAGAGGCCCUGGGUUCGAUUCUCAGCACCA
rnacentral:tRNA from 1 species